rnacentral:rRNA from 1 species
GACGAACGCUGGCGGCGUGGAUUAGGCAUGCAAGUCGAACGGUAGGAUACCUUCGGGUAUCUGAGAGUGGCGAACGGGUGAGUAACACGUAGGUGAUCUACCCUCAAGAUUGGGACAACCCAGGGAAACUUGGGCUAAUACCGGAUGAAAGCAGCAGUGAUGUUGUUUGAAAGGUGGCGUAAGCUGCCGUUUGGGGAUGAGCCUGCGCUCUAUUAGUUAGUUGGCGGGGUAAAGGCCCACCAAGGCGAUGAUAGAUAGGCGGCCUUAACGGGUGGUCGCCCACACUGGGAUUGAGAUACGGCCCAGACUCCUACGGGAGGCAGCAGUCGAGAAUAGUCUACAAUGGCCGAAAGGCUGAUAGUGCGACGCCGCGUGAACGAAGAAGCCCUUCGGGUGUAAAGUUCUUUUAUUAUGUGAGCAGUGCUUUCUAUGUGAACAGCAUGGGGAGAGAGAUAUUAGCAUAUGAAUAAGCAACGGCUAACUCCGUGCC